rnacentral:rRNA from 1 species
AAACUCAAAGGAAUUGACGGGGGCCCGCACAAGCGGUGGAGUAUGUGGUUUAAUUCGACGCAACGCGAAGAACCUUACCAAGGCUUGACAUCCCGUGACAGCCAUAGAAAUAUGGUUUUAUGGAUUUAACAUCUAUACACAGAGACAGGUGGUGCAUGGCUGUCGUCAGCUCGUGUCGUGAGAUGUUGGGUUAAGUCCCGCAACGAGCGCAACCCUUAUCCUGUGUUACCAGCGUGAAAGACGGGGACUCACAGGAGACUGCCGCCGACAAGGCGGAGGAAGGCGGGGAUGACGUCAAGUCAUCAUGCCCCUUAUGUCCUGGGCUACACACGUACUACAAUGGGUGCGAACAGAGGGCAGCAAUCCCGCGAGGGGGAGCCAAUCCCACAAAAGCACUCUCAGUUCGGAUCGCAGGCUGCAACCCGCCUGCGUGAAGUCGGAAUCGCUAGUAAUCGCAGAUCAGCAGGCUGCGGUGAAUACGUUCCCGGGCCUUGUACACACCGCCCGUCACACCACGAAAGUCUGCAACACCCGAAGCCGGUGGGGUAACCGCAAGGAGCCAGCCGUCGAAGGUGGGGCCGAUGAUUGGGGUGAAGUCGUAACAAGGUAGCCGUAUCGGAAGGUGCGGCUGGAUCACCUCCU